rnacentral:rRNA from 1 species
UACGUAGGGGGCAAGCGUUGUCCGGAAUCAUUGGGCGUAAAGAGCGUGUAGGCGGUCCGGUAAGUCUGCUGUGAAAGUCCAGGGCUCAACCCUGGGAUGCCGGUCGAUACUGCCGGACUAGAGUUCGGAAGAGGCGAGUGGAAUUCCCGGUGUAGCGGUGAAAUGCGCAGAUAUCAGGAGGAACACCGGUGGCGAAGGCGGGUCGCUGGGCCGUAACUGACGCUGAGGAGCGAAAGCGUGGGGAGCGAACAGG